UACAGAGGUCUCAAGCGUUUGUUCGGAUUCAUUGGGCGUAAAGGGUGUGUAGGUGGCGCCGUAAGUCGGGUGUGAAAUUUCGGAGCUUAACUCCGAAACUGCAUUCGAUACUGCGGUGCUUGAGGACUGGAGAGGAGACUGGAAUUCAUGGUGUAGCAGUGAAAUGCGUAGAGAUCAUGAGGAAGACCAGUGGCGAAGGCGGGGUCUCUGGACAGUUCCUGACACUGAGACACGAAGGCCAGGGGAGCAAACGGG
rnacentral:rRNA from 1 species